rnacentral:lncRNA from 1 species
CCCUCAGUGAUAAUUUCCUCUGCAGGGGACCCCAGAGGAAGAACUUGGUAACCAGAGGACACAAACCAUCUCAAAGCUGCCCGCCCGUGAUGACCCAGUGUCUGUCAGUGCCUUGGAGAUGACCAAAUCCACCACCUAACUAGUUCACAGGGAGGGGUGUUGGGAAAGGUUGUUGUUGGCUGACAGAACCUGAGGGAGACUCAGCUACCAGCUGGAUCCAGGGGAGACCUCUCUGUGAACACCUCCAUCCACAGGGCACAGGGUUCUAUCUUCUGCUCUUGGCUCCUUAACAAACCUCAACCAAUGGCAACCAACAGCCCACCCUGCCUCUCGGGGCCCUAACAUUUAUAGGCCCUCUGAAAAGUCCUUAGAGUUUCAAACGUCACACAAUUGCAGAAACGGCACACUAUCUGCAUAAGGCAAAAUCACAGCCCUGCGAGCACACAAUGGAAGUACAGUCAGCAGCUGUGGACAAGCAGCCUGUAUCCCACACCUGGGAACCCCAUGCACAGUGAAGAGAGGCCAAGCUGGCCCUAGUUCCUGCCAGAGGGGAGCUGGACUCUGGGAAAGUUCACCUAGUCCUCCGGUCCUGACAACAGUCAGACCAUUUCUCAGCAGAGGCUGGAGCCAAACAAAGGUGCUGUGACUAAAGACGUGGGCCGACAUUGCCAGACAGAACACCGUGUCUUAAAAGAAAACAGUAAACGGUUGAUGGGGCCACUCCCUGACUGGAACUGCUUAGCUUUGCAACCUCUUUCCCUCUUUUAAACCUACACCUUGUGUUGGGGCCCCAAAGAUGGAUUUGGGGGUCACUGGGGCUGUUUAUCUGAUGUCUAUGCUCCUCAGCAUGAUUCUGUCUCUCACUGUCCUGUCGGAGCAAGUAGCUGAACCUGGCAUGUCACUGUCUCCAUGCUCUGACCUGACAACUUAAGUGACACUUCCAUCCAGUGUCCACUUUACAGUCCCCUGAGGUUGGGUGGCCUCCCCUGGGCCUUUCUGCAGCCCUCCCAUAGCUAAAUGUCUCUGGUGAGGAUUCCAGACUGGCAAAACCUUUCGGUGCACGUACCCACGACGCAAGGGACGCUGGGAAAAUAAGUCUUCUGGCAUCUCUCAGGGCAGGGAAACUCCCUCUGCGUGGGCCAGAUGCUGGAGGCUAGGAAGUGGGGCAAAGGUCAGCUCUCCAGGUAAAGGCCUGGCUGGGCCUGCACAGGAAUGCAGGAAGGAUUCCAGCACCUUCCUGGACCGGGGUGAACCUCUCCUCAGCUCAAGUCAGAGAACAGCACAGAGAGGGCUGGCAUGUUUAUGUCACCUAGUUCUGCAAGGAUAAGGGAGAGCCAGGGCCCAGACCACAACAUCAGUGCCUCCAGUGGCUGGGAGCCCAGGCUUGCACGGGUGUUCAGAAACUACAGUGCGUGGGUAGAGGCCAUUUCUCUCCAGAAAUGAAGUUCUAGCUCCUUCAAGGCUCCAGGCCUGGCUUUGUCUAUUGGUUGGGUCUUCUUCCAUAGGAGAGAAAAGUCCUCAGGCCCUCGUUGGAGCAAAG